CUCAGAACGAACGCUGGCGGCAGGCCUAACACAUGCAAGUCGAGCGAACCCUUCGGGGUUAGCGGCGGACGGGUGAGUAACGCGUGGGAAUGUGCCCUUCUCUACGGAAUAGUCCUGGGAAACUGGGGGUAAUACCGUAUACGCCCUUUGGGGGAAAGAUUUAUCGGAGAAGGAUCAGCCCGCGUUGGAUUAGGUAGUUGGUGGGGUAAUGGCCUACCAAGCCUACGAUCCAUAGCUGGUUUGAGAGGAUGAUCAGCCACACUGGGACUGAGACACGGCCCAGACUCCUACGGGAGGCAGCAGUGGGGAAUCUUAGACAAUGGGGGCAACCCUGAUCUAGCCAUGCCGCGUGAGUGAUGAAGGCCUUAGGGUUGUAAAGCUCUUUCAGCUGGGAAGAUAAUGACGGUACCAGCAGAAGAAGCCCCGGCUAACUCCGUGCCAGCAGCCGCGGUAAUACGGAGGGGGCUAGCGUUGUUCGGAAUUACUGGGCGUAAAGCGCACGUAGGCGGACUGGAAAGUUGGGGGUGAAAUCCCGGGGCUCAACCCCGGAACUGCCUUCAAAACUAUCAGUCUUGAGUUCGAGAGAGGUGAGUGGAAUUCCGAGUGUAGAGGUGAAAUUCGUAGAUAUUCGGAGGAACACCAGUGGCGAAGGCGGCUC
rnacentral:rRNA from 1 species